GUUUAUGAAUCUCAUCAUAUAUAUAUAUACACAUAUAACUCCAUAUAAUUUUUAGUUUGAUGAUUCACAAAUCAUAAAGAGUUGGGCGGUUUGAUCUCUUUCCAUGGACACCAGGGUGAAAACUCGGGUGGGUUCAGUGCCUCGAUUCGGAGCAUGGGACGAUGGAAAGAGUGAAACCGACUUCUCUGAACUGUUUAUGGAAGCUCGCGAAAAAAGGAAGUACAAACACUUGACCACCCGCCAUAGCUUCAAUAAGACUCCUCCUGUGCCCAUGCAACGAGCGAAAAGGAAGGAGAAAAAGAAGAAGAAAAGUGUUAGUUGGUUUUGUUGUUUAUUUAGGUGUUGAAUUCCAAAUUUUGUUGGUUAGUGAUUGAGCAAAUAUUGUAAAUUUGUAACCGAGUUUCUUCCUCCCAUUUUUCAAAUAGAGUGCCAUGAUUUUUCACUUA